UACGUAGGGUGCGAGCGUUAAUCGGAAUUACUGGGCGUAAAGCGUGCGCAGGCGGUUUUGUAAGCCAGAUGUGAAAUCCCCGGGCUCAACCUGGGAAUGGCAUUUGGGCUGCAAGGCUGGAGUGCGGCAGAGGAGACUGGAAUUCCUGGUGUAGCAGUGAAAUGCGUAGAUAUCAGGAGGAAUACCGAUGGCGAAGGCAGGUCUCGUGGGCUGGACAC
rnacentral:rRNA from 1 species